GGUUUAGCUUGCUAGGCUGGGAUGAGCUGGACUGCUGCCUGUCCCCUGAACCUUGCAUCUCCCUCAGUGCAGCUCUAACUUUUAUCUCAUUGUAGCCUCGGAAGGACAGAGAAGGAAGCCAUUCUCGUUAGUCUCUUCAUUCUUACAGGACAGCUUUCGCACCUCUGUCUCCCAGAACAAGCUCCUUUUAGGGUCUGAAUCUUAAACUUUCUCCGCAGCCGUGUUUCCUACCUCCCAACCUAGUGUCACCUUCUCAGAGGAUAUGAAUGCCCCUCCCAAGCCAUUUCAUUACAUUACCUUCAUUCUGCAGCCACCAGAUGUCAUGCACUUGUCACAUGUGUCAGGACCUAGCCAGGACUGUGGGCUUAGGCUGGAUUAACAGAUGCUGCGAGUCAGGGAGCACCUGCAGGAAGGAUGCAGACGCUCCAGCUGUGUCCUUGGGAACAGCAGGAAACCAGCCCAUAUUAAUCAAGGACCUACUCCGUCCUCCCCACAGGACAGCUUCUUGUCAGGGAAUCUUGGUUUUAUUCCCAAGAAAUAGAUUUUCUUUCAGGGAGAUACCACCCAUUUGUCCAUUUAUUUCCAUGAGAACAGAUUUUUUAAAAAUUAUAAGUAAUCUUUGAUAUCUAUAAAGAAAUAUGUACUAUAAAUUAUGAAAUGCAAUGAAUACCUAUGACCCAUCAUUCAAUUUAUACAUUGAAAGUAGUUUUUUCCCCCUUGCCCGGCCUCUUCCUAGAGGUAAUCACUGUCUUUAAUUUUUGGUUAUUAAUCAUUUGUUUAUAUAUAUUGGCCAUGUGUAUAUAUAUUCUUUAGGAAUGUAUAAUUUUGUAUUGCUUGUAUUUUUAGCUUUAAAAAAUGUUGUCCUGUGUUCCUUGAGGUUUGCUUUUUUGCACUUACCCAUUGUUUCUCCGACUCCUCUGUUGUAAUUGCUAUGACUUGUUCCUCUGCAUCUGUAUAAUACCCCAUCAAGCAACUUAGCCACUCACCUACUGAGUAACACUUGGGCUGUCGGCAGGCUUCUGUUAUUAUACACAAUGCUGCUAUGAACAUUCUUGUAUAUGAGUGCCUUUGUUUUUAGUAAGAUUUCUAAAGAGGUUUCUAAGAUGGUCCUUUUGGUCUGUGUACCCUCUGAGCUGGGGACUGUUGCCUCUUGUCUUACUUUAUGGAAGAGUUUACAUCACAUAGAAAUGAACUGUUCUUGAAUGUUUGAUAAAAACUCACCUAUAAAG
rnacentral:lncRNA from 1 species